rnacentral:rRNA from 1 species
UACGGGGGGGGUAAGCGUUGUUCGGAAUUACUGGGCGUAAAGGGCGCGUAGGCGGCCUUCUAAGUCGAACGUGAAAUCCCCGGGCUCAACCCGGGAACUGCGUCCGAUACUGGAAGGCUUGAAUCCGGGAGAGGGAUGUGGAAUUCCAGGUGUAGCGGUGAAAUGCGUAGAUAUCUGGAGGAACACCGGUGGCGAAGGCGACAUCCUGGACCGGUAUUGACGCUGAGGCGCGAAAGCCAGGGGAGCAAACAGG